GACGGACGCUGGCGGCGUGCCUAAUACAUGCAAGUUGAGCGAUGAAGAUUGGUGCUUGCACCAAUUUGAAGAGCAGCGAACGGGUGAGUAACGCGUGGGGAAUCUGCCUUUGAGCGGGGGACAACAUUUGGAAACGAAUGCUAAUACCGCAUAACAACUUUAAACAUAAGUUUUAAGUUUGAAAGAUGCAAUUGCAUCACUCAAAGAUGAUCCCGCGUUGUAUUAGCUAGUUGGUGAGGUAAAGGCUCACCAAGGCGAUGAUACAUAGCCGACCUGAGAGGGUGAUCGGCCACAUUGGGACUGAGACACGGCCCAAACUCCUACGGGAGGCAGCAGUAGGGAAUCUUCGGCAAUGGACGAAAGUCUGGCCGAGCAACGCCGCGUGAGUGAAGAAGGUUUUCGGAUCGUAAAACUCUGUUGGUAGAGAAGAACGUUGGUGAGAGUGGAAAGCUCAUCAAGUGACGGUAACUACCCAGAAAGGGACGGCUAACUACGUG
rnacentral:rRNA from 1 species